CAUGCAGCCGAGCGGUAGAGAUCUUUCGGGAUCUUGAGAGCGGCGUACGGGUGCGGAACACGUGUGCAACCUGCCUUUAUCUGGGGGAUAGCCUUUCGAAAGGAAGAUUAAUACCCCAUAAUAUGUUGGAUGGCAUCAUUCGACAUUGAAAACUCCGGUGGAUAGAGAUGGGCACGCGCAAGAUUAGAUAGUUGGUGAGGUAACGGCUCACCAAGUCUGCGAUCUUUAGGGGGCCUGAGAGGGUGAUCCCCCACACUGGUACUGAGACACGGACCAGACUCCUACGGGAGGCAGCAGUGAGGAAUAUUGGACAAUGGGUGAGAGCCUGAUCCAGCCAUCCCGCGUGAAGGACGACGGCCCUAUGGGUUGUAAACUUCUUUUGUAUAGGGAUAAACCUACUCUCGUGAGAGUAGCUGAAGGUACUAUACGAAUAAGCACCGGCUAACUCCGUGCCAGCAGCCGCGGUAAUACGGAGGGUGCAAGCGUUAUCCGGAUUUAUUGGGUUUAAAGGGUCCGUAGGCGGAUCUGUAAGUCAGUGGUGAAAUCUCACAGCUUAACUGUGAAACUGCCAUUGAUACUGCAGGUCUUGAGUGUUGUUGAAGUAGCUGGAAUAAGUAGUGUAGCGGUGAAAUGCAUAGAUAUUACUUAGAACACCAAUUGCGAAGGCAGGUUACUAAGCAACAACUGACGCUGAUGGACGAAAGCGUGGGGAGCGAACAGGAUUAGAUACCCUGGUAGUCCACGCCGUAAACGAUGCUAACUCGUUUUUGGGCUUUCGGGUUCAGAGACUAAGCGAAAGUGAUAAGUUAGCCACCUGGGGAGUACGAACGCAAGUUUGAAACUCAAAGGAAUUGACGGGGGCCCGCACAAGCGGUGGAUUAUGUGGUUUAAUUCGAUGAUACGCGAGGAACCUUACCAAGGCUUAAAUGGGAAAUGACAGGUUUAGAAAUAGACUUUUCUUCGGACAUUUUUCAAGGUGCUGCAUGGUUGUCGUCAGCUCGUGCCGUGAGGUGUUAGGUUAAGUCCUGCAACGAGCGCAACCCCUGUCACUAGUUGCCAUCAUUAAGUUGGGGACUCUAGUGAGACUGCCUACGCAAGUAGAGAGGAAGGUGGGGAUGACGUCAAAUCAUCACGGCCCUUACGCCUUGGGCCACACACGUAAUACAAUGGCCGGUACAGAGGGCAGCUACACAGCGAUGUGAUGCAAAUCUCGAAAGCCGGUCUCAGUUCGGAUUGGAGUCUGCAACUCGACUCUAUGAAGCUGAAUCGCUAGUAUUCGCG
rnacentral:rRNA from 1 species